AGCUUCACACACUAGCUUUACACACAGCAGCCUUCACACUGGAGCUUCACACACUAGCUUUACACACAGCAGCCUUCACACUGGAGCUUCACACACUAGCUUUACACACAGCAGCCUUCACACUGGAGCUUCACACACUAGCUUUACACACAGCAGCCUUCACACUGGAGCUUCACACACUAGCUUUACAUACGGCAGCCUUCACACUGGAGCUUCACACACUAGCUUUACAUACGGCAGCCUUCACACUGGAGCUUCACACACUAGCUUUACAUACGGCAGCCUUCACACUGGAGCUUCACACACUAGCUUUACACACAGCAGCCUUCACACUGGAGCUUCACACACUAGCUUUACACACAGCAGCCUUCACACUGGAGCUUCACACACUAGCUUUACACACGGCAGCCUUCACACUGGAGCUUCACAUACUAGCUUUACACACAGCAGCCUUCACACUGGAGCUUCACACACUAGCUUUACACACAGCAGCCUUCACACUGGAGCUUCACACACUAGCUUUACACACGGCAGCCUUCACACUGGAGCUUCACACACGAGGCCUUCAACAUGGGGCUUCUCACACAGAGACCUUCUCACACGGAGGCCCACUAACACUAGCUUUGACCCACUAACAAGUCUUGAUCUACUCACCUUCCUCAGGGCAACACUAGCUUUGAUGAAGAUCUAGAUGAGAGCUCUUUUUGUAGGAUGCCGCUCUCCAAACCAAUUGACCGAAACGUUCUUUCUUGCAGGACGUGGUGAACUGCGUGGGCGGGAUGGGGGUCCUUCUCCCGCUUCUGGACCAGGUGGCCUCCCAGAAGAAGGAGGCCGAAGACCCCCAAGAGACCCACAACCUGGUGGGGCCGGAGCUGACCUCUUCCCACAACAGCGCCCAGGGCUUGCUCAUCCCGCUGGGGAAGUCUUCAGAGAGUAGGCUGGAGAGGAAUGGCAUAGCUGCCUUCCUGCUGUUGGUGAAGAACUUCAUCCGCGGCCAUGCGGUCAACCAGGAGAGCCUGGUCCAGUGCCACGGACCGGCCAUCAUCGGAGCCCUGCUGCAGAAGGUAGGAGCCUCAAUGCCACUCGUGCCAGAUUAUUGGGCUGGGCUGUGGCGCGGCUGGUUAGUAGCCAGCUGCAAGAAAUCACUACUGACCGAGAGGUCUUGAGUUCGAAACCAGCCCGGGUCGGAUUGAGCGCCCAACCAUUAAAUAGCCUAAUAAUAAUAAUCCUCCUCUACUACAACAUUCUUAACUCUAUAGUUAUGAGGUACAUUGGCCUGGCUAAAAUGUGGAGAAGGACAACCCCAAGGUUCAAAUGCUGUUUAUGUUGCUACUCUGCUUUCUGAUCCGAGCUUCAAGGCAAGAGCAAAAUGGAUGGGAACAAGUUUUAUUUGUGCCAGAAUUUCAAAAAAAC
rnacentral:lncRNA from 11 species